AAAAAAGUUGGUGUAGCAUUUUAAUUUAAAAUUUUUUUCUUUUUAAUUUUUGAAAAC
rnacentral:tRNA from 1 species